CUGCUCGCUUCAGCAGUACAUAUACUAAAAUUGGAGAUUAGCAUGGUCCCUGUGCAAGGAUGACGUGGAAAUUCAUGUAGUGGCCCAUACUUUU
ensembl:snRNA U6 U6 spliceosomal RNA